GUAUUUUCCAACUCUACAUUUCUAUGAUACUAUGAUGGCAGCUGUCAUUUCAGAAGGACCUUUUUAGAGCAGCCAUUCGACACAGGUUAGUUACUUCUUCGUGCGCUCUAAUUACUCUUUUGUACACAUAAUCAAAGCUAUUCCAAGCGGAGUCUCUCUCUGCUGCAUGAAUGUUAAACAGCUGGCUCAUGUAAGCAUCCUGAGGACUCCCACUUACAAUUUUUCUUGCUCUUCGCAGCACACACAAUGGAACUCAAAACCACCUUUCUCCCUUAACAACUUUCACCAGCAGGAGAAAAUGGCUAAUUAUCAGAAGGCCGUCCCUCUGUUUUCAUGUAUGGAGGUUUCUGUGGGAGCUUUGUGUGUUUCUACAUAUGGAGAUAAAAAGGAACUGCUGUUUUUAGUUAUGCUGUGAUUUCAGGCUGGGGAGCAUUUUGGUGAGGAGUUCACUGACUGUUGAAUUUUAUUGCACUGCUAAAUUUUAACUAUUGUAUUUUACUCUGUACGCUACUUUUGGGUACUUCGAAAGGCCAACAGAUACAAUCAGUCAUGCAAAUAAGCUAAGCCUUGGGGUGCCUUUACUCAUCCCAUGCACUUCAUUGCAGAAUUUACACAGAAGUAGACCCACCAUGCAGUAGGGCUUCCAGGGCGUUGGCACCUGCACAGUAAUAAACAGCAGUCUGGUUUGCGCAUAACAUUAAGACACAAGCCAGCCCACAGAUGAUCAAACAAACCAUGGGCAGUUUCUUCAAAACUGGUUUCAUUCACCAGCUGCUCUUUCUUCAUAUCUUUGCAGACUGAAGAGCACCUAUGGUGGAAUGGGCAAACCAAGCAUGGUUAAAGAAGGAUGCUGGGUCCACGUGCAAUGCCAAAUGGUAAUUAAAAGAAACCAAGGUUGGUAAGCCAGCAACAAGCCGCGGCUUCAAACCGUGGUUAAACAAACCAUAGUUUAGCCACUGGGCAGUGUUUGGACAAUCAAACAAACCAUGGUUCAGUGUUAUGUGCUAGCCAGGCCAAUGCUCUCAAAUUUGAUCUGUUUACCAUUUCCUCUUUUCUUUCUCUCUCUCUCUCUCUCUAAAAAAAAAGCCUAGAACAGCAACAACAACCAGCCAACCAACCAACCAA